rnacentral:rRNA from 1 species
AGGUAAGCUACUAAGAGCGAAUGGUGGAUGCCUUGACUGGUAAAGGCGAUGAAGGACGUACUAGACUGCGAUAAGCUACGGGGAGCUGUCAAGAAGCUUUGAUCCGUAGAUUUCCGAAUGGGGCAACCCAAUGUAUAGAGAUAUACAUUACCUAUAUAGGAGCGAACGAGGGGAAUUGAAACAUCUUAGUACCCUCAGGAAAAGAAAUCAAUAGAGAUUGCGUCAGUAGCGGCGAGCGAAAGCGCAAGAGGGCAAACCCAGUGCUUGCACUGGGGGUUGUAGGACUGCAAUGUGCAAGAGGUGAGUUUAGCAGAACAUUCUGGAAAGUAUAGCCAUAGAGGGUGAUAGUCCCGUAUGCGAAAAACAAACCUUAGCUAGCAGUAUCCUGAGUAGGGCGGGACACGAGAAAUCCUGUCUGAAGCUGGGUCGACCACGAUCCAACCCUAAAUACUAAUACCAGAUCGAUAGUGCACAAGUACCGUGAGGGAAAGGUGAAAAGAACUGAGGUGAUCAGAGUGAAAUAGAACCUGAAACCAUUUGCUUACAAUCAUUCAGAGCCCUAUGUAGCAAUACAGGGUGAUGGACUGCCUUUUGCAUAAUGAGCCUGCGAGUUGUGGUGUCUGGCAAGGUUAAGCAAACGCGAAGCCGUAGCGAAAGCGAGUCUGAAUAGGGCGCUUAGUCAGAUGCUGCAGACCCGAAACGAAGUGAUCUAUCCAUGAGCAAGUUGAAGCUAGUGUAAGAACUAGUGGAGGACUGAACCCAUAGGCGUUGAAAAGCCCCGGGAUGACUUGUGGAUAGGGGUGAAAGGCCAAUCAAACUUCGUGAUAGCUGGUUCUCUCCGAAAUAUAUUUAGGUAUAGCGUUGUGUCGUAAUAUAAGGGGGUAGAGCACUGAAUGGGCUAGGGCAUACACCAAUGUACCAAACCCUAUCAAACUCCGAAUACCUUAUAUGUAAUCACAGCAGUCAGGCGGCGAGUGAUAAAAUCCGUCGUCAAGAGGGAAACAACCCAGACUACCAGCUAAGGUCCCUAAAUCUUACUUAAGUGGAAAACGAUGUGAAGUUACUUAAACAACCAGGAGGUUGGCUUAGAAGCAGCCAUCCUUUAAAGAAAGCGUAAUAGCUCACUGGUCUAGUGAUUUUGCGCGGAAAAUAUAACGGGGCUAAAGUAAGUACCGAAGCUGUAGACUUAGUUUAC